rnacentral:rRNA from 1 species
GGUUGCGAUCAUACCAACACUAAUGCAACGGAUCCCAUCAGAACUCCGCAGUUAAGCGUGCUUGGGCGAGAGUAGUACUAAGAUGGGUGACCCCCUGGGAAGUCCUCGUGUUGCAACCCC